rnacentral:rRNA from 1 species
AGUAAUGUAUGGGGAUCUGCCUGAUGGCGGGGGAUAACUGCUGGAAACGGUAGCUAAUACCGCAUAAUGUCUACGGACCAAAGCGGGGGACCUCCGGGCCUCGCGCCAUCAGAUGAACCCAUAUGGGAUUAGCUAGUAGGUGAGGUAACGACUUACCUAGGCGACGAUCCCUAGCUGGUCUGAGAGGAUGAUCAGCCACACUGGGACUGAGACACGGCCCAG